rnacentral:rRNA from 1 species
AGUGAACGCUGGCGGUAGGCCUAACACAUGCAAGUCGAACGGCAGCACAGUAAGAGCUUGCUCUUACGGGUGGCGAGUGGCGGACGGGUGAGGAAUACAUCGGAAUCUACUUUUUCGUGGGGGAUAACGUAGGGAAACUUACGCUAAUACCGCAUACGACCUACGGGUGAAAGCAGUGGAUCUUCGGACCUUGCGCGAUUGAAUUAGCCGAUGUCGGAUUAGCUAGUUGGCGGGGUAAAGGCCCACCAAGGCGACGAUCCGUAGCUGGUCUGAGAGGAUGAUCAGCCACACUGGAACUGAGACACGGUCCAGACUCCUACGGGAGGCAGCAGUGGGGAAUCUUGGACAAUGGGCGAAAGCCUGACCCAGCCAUACCGCGUGAGUGAAGAAGGCCUUCGGGUUGUAAAGCCCUUUUGUUGGGAAAGAAAAGCAGCAGGUUAAUACCCCGCUGUUCUGACGGUACCCAAAGAAUAAGCACCGGCUAACUUCGUG